rnacentral:rRNA from 1 species
CCUACGGGAGGCAGCAGUGAGGAAUAUUGGUCAAUGGACGAGAGUCUGAACCAGCCAAGUAGCGUGAAGGAUGACUGCCCUAUGGGUUGUAAACUUCUUUUAUAUGGGAAUAAAAUGUUCCACGUGUGGGAUUUUGUAUGUACCAUAUGAAUAAGGAUCGGCUAACUCCGUGCCAGCAGCCGCGGUAAUACGGAGGAUCCGAGGUGUAGCCGGAUUUAUUGGGUUUAAAGGGAGCGUAGGUGGAUUGUUAAGUAAGUUGGGAAAGUUUGCGGCUCAACCCCGUCCGGCCGUUGAAACUGGGGGCCUUGAGGGGGCGAGAAGAAGGCGGAAUGCGUGGUGUAGCGGUGAAAUGCAUAGAUAUCACGCAGAACCCCCAUUGCGAAGGCAGCCUUCCGGCGCCCUACUGACGCUGAGGCACGAAAGUGCGGGGAUCGAACAGGAUUAGAUACCCGGGUAGUC